CUACGGCGGCUACCCACUCACAGUUCCCCACUCUUGUAACCCUAGAUCUUGUACCAGAGAUAAUUCUGUCGAUCCACCCUGUAGCUACCUUGAUCGAGCGCAAUUCAUAUCCUACCCCUUACAAGCGAGCUCACCGAUCUCGACGGCCCCGUUGCCGUCGGCGUCCAUCCAGGUGAUGUGGGUGUGGAUCUUGUCUCCCACAGCCUGCUUAGAUCCACCCUGAUUUUGAGAUGCUGAGGCGUUGUUUUCGAUCGCAUCGUGGCUGCCCCCGAGUGAGGCAGCCCGACAUGUCACCUUCAUCCUGGACUGGCAGCCUGAUUUCGGCAGCUCAUUCUUCCACUUAAGUAAAGGAGAUCAACUUCCAAGAUCAGUGAUUGUGGUGAAAGCUUUAAUGUUAAAAUGGAUGUUAUGUUUCAAUCAUCAUGUGAAGACAGUGAGGGUCUUUUACCCUUCUAUUGUAGUUAGAUGAUAUUCUAUACAAAACCAUAUAUGUGUGAAGAAUUAGAUUGUGAUUGAGGAUGGCAAGUUCAUGUA